rnacentral:rRNA from 1 species
AUGCUAUACUUCUUACAGAAAGGAACCCAUUUCUUUGCAAAUUCAGAUGUUUCAGACAAUCCUUCGAAUGUCAGCAUGGCAGCACCAUCAGUGGCAGAUCUGCAUCGUCGCCAUCCCCGUUCCAGUCUUUACCGCCAUCAUUUCUGGCCUGAUGCAGCCUCUCCUGCUUCUGCUUCCAGCUCUCCAUCCUCUCCUUCCAGGCGACGCUACCGUACCCGUAGGAACCAAUAUCCUUGGAUGGGUCCAUGGAUCUCGGUUGCACUGAAGGUUGGAAUCAGCAUAAGGGAGCGGGUGGAUCCUCUUUCCCCCGCCGCCGACGAAGGAAGGAACAAGGGCGUGCUGCUCCGGCGGGAUGUCGUCGACCUACACACGGCGAGCGAGCAAUUGAGCAUCCAGCAAGGCAGGCAGUCUGAUAUUACGGCAGAGGAGGGUGAGUUAAUUACCAUCUGGCCAUUGGUGAGGAGUGGAACAUUGGGGUUGGGCUGGAAGGGCUGGUGCACGCCGUCGAGGUCGCCGCCGCGGCCGUAG